rfam:Solanum tuberosum cultivar DM 1-3 516 R44 scf00039_49, whole genome shotgun sequence.
UGAUUCAAGAGAUUCACCGGGAAAUCCACACACGCGUUCCGGGGGGUUUUCAAGCCGAGCGCCUCACAGAAAUGCUGGACUAAUCUAUUCAUUGGUAGGGCAUUUCUUCCUGUGACCGCCUUUCCUACCAAAAAGCUAACCCAACAAAAUCCGGGUUUUUUUCGACGCUGAGGUGCGAAAGCAUGGGGAGCGAACAGGAUUAGAUACCCUGGUAGUCCAUGCCGUAAACGAUGAGUGUUGUCCCUUGGUCUACGCGGAUCAGGGGCCAGCUAACGCGUGAAACACUCCGCCUGGGGAGUACGGUCGCAAGACUGAAACUCAAAGGAAUUGACGGGGCUUUUUGGUAUUUUCUGUUUCUUCGGAUGAUAUGAUGGGUCAAUCAUUUGCUUC